rnacentral:lncRNA from 1 species
CACCGUUGGUUUGCAGGCCCUUGAGGUUUCCCCCCGCCCCCCCGGGGUUUCAACCCUGAAGCUCGGGUGCCCUCGGUGCCUGCGCCCCCGGGGCCCCGGCCAACAACGGCCGCCUUUCCACUCAGCCCCACGCUGCCCCCGCGGCCCGCCACGGCCGGCGCCAUGGCCCCGCUGCGCAGCCACAAGCCCACGGUCGCGUCCCUCAGCCCGUAUACCUGCCUGCCGUCUCUUAGGGAGACACCCCAGCCUCUCAAGCCCUGCAGAUCGCACCCUGAUUCUGCAGCUGACCUGCUGUCCGCCCUGAGUCAGGAAGAACAGGAGCUCAUCAGGCCUGUGGUCGCCCUGGGAUACCCCCUGGCCAGGGCCAUCACAGCUCUUCAGAGGACGGGGAGACAGAGCCUGAGCCAAUUUCUCGGCUACCUCAGCGCCCGGGAGAGGCUGCUGCAGCAGGGCUAUGAGGAGGCCCUGGUGGACGAGGCCAUGGAGCUGUUCCAGAACUCUGAAAGCAAGGCCAGGGAGUUCCUGCGCCUCUGGGAGCAGUUCAGCGACAUGGGUUUCCAGCCGCAGCGGAUCAAGGAGGUGCUGCUGGUACACGGCAACCGCCAUGAGCAGGCCCUGGAGGAGCUGGUGGCCGGCACCCAGUGACUGUGAGGCCACUGGCCUGUGUCCUUGAAACCCAGCCGGAGCCACACAGACAAAGCUAUGCACGUUCACUAUAAAAAACAAACAGUCCCAAGGCAGGGGAAACACUGAGGUCAGCUGGCGGCGCUCCAGGAGGACUAGGCAGGGGCCAGUGAGGUGGGACUGAGCCUUGCACCCUGCCUGUGUUCCAUGUGUACCCUCUGUGUUAAUAACUUUGCUGUUGAGAAAAUUAAAACAAUAACAGUAGCAACAGAAUGACGGGCAGUUGUUUUGAGUCCUGUAGGCUGCUGGUCUUGGGAUGGAAAAUAUAUCCCCACUGAGCCUCAGAAGUUCCGAUUUGGGUUCUGUGGAUGUCGAGCUCAAGGGCUCUUUGGGUCUCCAUGUCCCCAAAGGAAAAGUAGAAAAUCUGAUGAAGUCAAUGUUUGACCUGGCCAGUGCCCAUCAGAUACUCUGACUCAGAAAGCACAGCAUGGUGGCCUCCUGGGUGUUCUUUCAUUGGUUCUUUAAGACACAGUUUCAUUGGUGUGGGACGAUGAAGGCAGUCCUCCUGCUUCAGCCUGCCAAGUAUCCGGGACUACAGGUAACAAGCUCAGUUUGUUUUAUAUAAUGGGUUCUCUGGGGUUCUUUACAAUGGCACAGGCCCAAGGCCAGUGAGUGUGGCCUUCUGGACCAGCCAGGCUAGGCCCCCUUCUGCCCUGACAGUCCAGCCCGAAUGUCCCCUUUCAUCUUCUGGGAGGUGGGGAGAUUAGGACCAGGUUGUCUCCAGCUGCCCCACAUCUGUCCGUUAGAGGCCCCCAGGGGAGCCAAAGGGUAACUUGCUGAAGCAGCCUAGAGGUCAGAGGCCAAGACAUGGAUGCCCCAUUUUUUCUAGUCGCCCCACGGCAAGUGGAGUCCAGGCUUCUCAGCCACUUGCAGACAAGGCUGUAUUUGGUGCUGUGAAACCACAAACAGAAACACUCAUGUUGCUCAGAGCUCAGAGGCUGGGUCUGGCGGUGUCUCGGAGACUUCUGCAGCCCCCAUAAGAAGUCUGGGACUGGGCCCAGUUCCCUAAGCCCCAUCACACCACUAAGCCCCAGUAUUCUUCGGCCUUCAAAUCACUUUAAAUCAAUGCACUUUAAGGUGAUGCAAAACUGAGAAAAUCAGCAAGAUGGCACAAAGUUGGGUCAUGUGUCUAUUGCCAAAAAUAAAGCUAGCCUUGGAGAAGAUGAUACAAUUAGAGUUCAGUUUCUAAGAUGCAGUUUUAGGGUCAAAGUUAUUUCGGUUCUGAUUAAAU